GUAAUGAAUCUGAGGAUCGAAGGAUGUAGUUGCGCCAAUGAGAGGAUGUCAAACUGAGGAUUCCGCCUCACGCUUUUAAACCGUCCCACAGGAAACAUGCUGUCUGCGUCGGACACCGGAGCAGAAUCAGAGCUCUCGGAGCCCAGAGACGAAUCCACUGAGCCUUCAUCAAACGUCUGCGAAUGCCUCGCUCAGGAGAGAAGCACCGAAUCGGACCGUUUGAAGCCUUCAUCGUCAUCCAGCUGUUGGUCCAUGUGUUCCCAGCCUGCACCAAAGGACGAUGAUUUCAGGGUGUGCCGGUGUUUCGGCUCAUCGGAACCUGCGUUCCCUCGUUUACCUCACUUCUCUCGUGACCUUAUUUCAGCUGUAUCUGAGUCUUUUUCCGAGUUACGCCAUAAUCGAAACACAGCGGCCUCCUCUUCUCUCACACAAGGAGGUGUUACACCUCAACCUUUUGGGGCCAUGUCAUCUGCUUCGCAGGGUUUGAUGGAGCCAUUUGUCACUGAGCCUCUUUCCAGCUCUGAACACAGUCCAGAACCGUAUCUAUUGAGUUCGUUUUCACCUCAGUCCGACAGCUUGGAGCGUCAUUCAGCUACAGCGCCUCUUCCAGAACUUUACAUCUCUGAAAGUGAGACGCAGGACUUCAUCCUGAGCCCUCACCAAGAUCCCCGGGAAUUUCAAUGGCCCGAAUACCACCAGUGGGAAGCGGGGGGGCGAAACGCCGACUGCCAUACACAUCAUUUCCCGAUGCGCGAUUCAGACAACGAGGUGACGCGAUGUCGUCUCGGCUCCAGACGAGAGGAACGAGCCACGCUGGACUGUGAGUCAGACGCGAGAGCACCUGCUGCGGCAGCCUGUGCGGAAGCCUUGGUGCCGGUAAAUGACGAGAGGCCAGGGCAUGCACAGACCACUGACUUGACCCCCCAACCACAGCAAAGCCCCAGCCCCGUCGAGCUGUGGCUGGAUGCAUGCCAGUAUCUGGCAGGUGAGGAUACGGAGGACCUGAACGUUUUGGACAAGGCGAGGUAUUCCGUGAUCCAAGGAGGCCUCGCCAGGGACUCGUCUUUCCCCCCGGGGGACACAAAGGUGUCAGGUUACAACCUUGACGAUAGCGAGGGGAUUGGCUGGUCCAGCGAUGACACCAUAUGUUGGGGGCCACCGGUUGAGAGGUGGUCAUCCGUGGACAGCUGGGCCAGCGCACUCUCAGACUGGAGCGGGAUUAUCGCGGCUCCGCCGGAGGACUUCGCGGCUGCCUUCACAGAGAUAGGGGCAGAGAUAGAUGCUCUGACACAGGCGCUAGCUGAGGUAAACACUCAUUUAGAAACAGACCCCCCCAAAGAAGACAAGGGUCAAGGGCCAGCAGUCAGGGCGCAAUCACAGCCACCCAUGGGCCUCCAGGAUCAGCAUUUAGAGGCGCAAAACCCGACCGAGAGCUCCAUCCUCUCUGGGCAGAGCUGUCGCUCCUCGUGCCCGGAGGCUGCAGGACCCGAGCUCGGAGACAGAGAGAGAUGUCAGAGCGUCGAAUCGUUGUGCGAUUCGACAGCCGGCGCCCAGGACGAAAAGGAGGCGGAAGAAAUCCAGAACAUCCGGGUUGAGCGCUCGGCGCACCGGCGCUCUUCCGCCGGGUCAUCCUGGGAGACCGUGGCCGCUCCCGGAGGAGGCGGCGCAGAGGUGAUCCCUGGAUCCACUCCUUCCGCUGAUCUGAACCCUCCUCGAUUUGGCGAGCCAGACCGUUUCUUCAACAACAAAGUAGUUUCCAUCCUACUGAAUAUAGUAGAAGAUACCGAUUUGGAGGGACGAGAUACACCUGGAGAUCUGAUGAUUGAGAAGCCCUUUGGAGAUGAAGUGUGUGAAGUGACAGACAAACACAGUGUCUCCCGGCCGCGCUGGUUGACUGAGCGGGAAGUCGAAAGGAGCCGCGGGCCAGCUGAGGUUGAUCGGGAAGGAACUCUUCGUUUUCACGCCACGCGCGCUUCGGCAAACUCACACGUGCCAGGUGAGCACGCGGGAGCUGGCUCGCGUACCAAUGUUGGCACACGCGCGCCGCCUGACACUUUACCAGACCUUGACGAAGGGCGUCAGGUGGAGCCACGAUGGGCAAGUCCUAAGUUCAUAAUGCCCUUAGCCCCGCUCGGUAUCUCGGCCCUGGCACCCCACGUCUGUCGGACAAGCAGAAGUUUGGAAGGAGAUCAAACUGGUGCAAAAAGGUCCCUCAAUGACAACAGGGACCCCAGUUGUGACCGCACACAGGCCUGCGCUCACAGGCCGACCUCGGAGGGGAUCGCUGAUAUAAAAUCUUCGAAUGGUGAUGAGUUGAGUCAUGAAAAGGGAACUAAAAUAAAGUAUACUGAGAAGUCUUCAAAAAAGGGACAAGUGGACUUGAUCCCGACAUGUAAAACAACAACUGAGGAGAUCCACGAGCUCAGCGGAAGACUCUCAGACCUGGCUGAUGCCCCCGCAGAUCAGUUCUUUGUCUCACAGAAGAAGCGCGUUGCAUUCAUCACUUUAGAUUUGAAUGACCCAUUUGUCUCCAGGGCUGCAAAACCCAUCGCCAAAUGCACACAGUCCGACUUGAAUCAGACGAAAGCUGAGAAGAUGCCACGCAAAACACACAAAACUACCUCGGAGAGCAAAGCACGCUCUAAAAAGGACAAAACAGCUGGUCAUUAUCACGGAACACAAGCUUGCAAGAAACAGGAGGCUUUAUCUCAUCAUGUUUCCGCCCAGCAGGUCUGUAAACAGCAAGAAACUCAUCCUCUCACCGGGGAAAACCACACUGGCGAGAAUAAUCAAGUCGGGCUGCUGGAUAAGGAGGCCAAAUUGGUGAUUGACGCUGGUGCGACAACUGAGAAGGCUCCGAGCAAACCACAUGGCAAGAAGAAGAAGAAAAAACACCGGGCUGAAUGGUGUCGGGGAGCCACUGGUGGAGGUGGAGAACGGAGCGAAACCAAAGACAGCGAAAGGGAGGAUUGA
ensembl:lncRNA